rnacentral:rRNA from 1 species
AUGUGUGCACCAAAAAAUCAAGGAGGUGUGGGUUUUAGAGAUAUACAUUGUUUCGUUCUGCCUUUGUUAGCCAAACAGGCAUGGCGCCUGAUUGAUAAUCCCGAAUCCUUAUGUGCGUCUAUCUUAGGAGCUAAAUAUUUCCCGGAAGGAGAUUUAAUGAAUUCAAAUAUAAGAAAGGGCCCCCUUUUACUUGGCAAAGUAUUAUGGCGGAAGUAA